rnacentral:rRNA from 1 species
CCCAGACUCCUACGGGAGGCAGCAGUGGGGGAUAUUGCACAAUGGGGGAAACCCUGAUGCAGCGACGCCGCGUGGGUGAAGAAGUAUUUCGGUAUGUAAAGCCCUAUCAGCAGGGAAGAAAGAAGACGGUACCUGACUAAGAAGCCCCGGCUAACUACGUGCCAGCAGCCGCGGUAAUACGUAGGGGGCGAGCGUUAUCCGGAUUCACUGGGUGUAAAGGGAGCGUAGACGGCCGUGCAAGCCAGGAGUGAAAGCCCGGGGCCCAACCCCGGGACUGCUCUUGGAACUGUGCGGCUGGAGUGCGGGAGGGGCAGGCGGAAUUCCUGGUGUAGCGGUGAAAUGCGUAGAUAUCAGGAGGAACACCGGCGGCGAAGGCGGCCUGCUGGACCGCGACUGACGUUGAGGCUCGAAAGCGUGGGGAGCGAACAGGAUUAGAUACCCGUGUAUG